rnacentral:rRNA from 1 species
UCGGGAAUUUUGGGCAAUGGGCGAAAGCCUGACCCAGCAACGCCGCGUGAAGGAUGAAGUAUUUCGGUAUGUAAACUUCGUAAGAAUAGGAAGAAUAAAUGACGGUACUAUUUGUAAGGUCCGGCUAACUACGUGCCAGCAGCCGCGGUAAUACGUAGGGACCAAGCGUUGUUCGGAUUUACUGGGCGUAAAGGGCGCGUAGGCGGCGUGGUAAGUCAUCUGUGAAAUCUCCGAGCUUAACUCGGAACGGUCAGAUGAUACUGCUGUGCUAGAGUACAGAAGGGGCAAUCGGAAUUCUUGGUGUAGCGGUGAAAUGCGUAGAUAUCAAGAGGAACACCUGAGGUGAAGACGGGUUGCUGGGCUUGUAGUGACGCUGAGACGCGAAAGCGUGGGGAGCAAACAGGAUUAGAUACCCCUGUAGUCCCUGAGCGGGCUGGCAAGGCGCAU